GACGAACGCUGGCGGCGUGCUUAACACAUGCAAGUCGAGCGGUAAGGGCCCUUUCGGGGGUACACGAGCGGCGAACGGGUGAGUAACACGUGGGUGACCUGCCCUCAGCUCUGGGAUAAGCCUGGGAAACUGGGUCUAAUACUGGAUAUGACUCCACGGUGCAUGUCGUGGGGUGGAAAGCCUUGUGCGGCUGAGGAUGGGCCCGCGGCCUAUCAGCUUGUUGGUGGGGNGAUGGCCUACCAAGGCGACGACGGGUAGCCGGCCUGAGAGGGGCGACCGGGCCACACUGGGACUGAGACACGGCCCAGACUCCUACGGGAGGCAGCAGUGGGGAAUCUUGCGCAAUGGGCGAAAGCCUGACGCAGCGACGCCGCGUGAGGGAUGACGGCCU
rnacentral:rRNA from 1 species